UACUUCGGUAAUGACGUUAGGAAAGCGAGCGGCGGAUGGGUGAGUAACACGUGGGGAACCUGCCCCAUAGUCUGGGAUACCACUUGGAAACAGGUGCUAAUACCGGAUAAGAAAGCAGAUCGCAUGAUCAGCUUUUAAAAGGCGGCGUAAGCUGUCGCUAUGGGAUGGCCCCGCGGUGCAUUAGCUAGUUGGUAAGGUAAAGGCUUACCAAGGCGAUGAUGCAUAGCCGAGUUGAGAGACUGAUCGGCCACAUUGGGACUGAGACACGGCCCAAACUCCUACGGGAGGCAGCAGUAGGGAAUCUUCCACAAUGGACGCAAGUCUGAUGGAGCAACGCCGCGUGAGUGAAGAAGGUUUUCGGAUCGUAAAGCUCUGUUGUUGGUGAAGAAGGAUAGAGGUAGUAACUGGCCUUUAUUUGACGGUAAUCAACCAGAAAGUCACGGCUAACUACGUGCCAGCAGCCGCGGUAAUACGUAGGUGGCAAGCGUUGUCCGGAUUUAUUGGGCGUAAAGCGAGCGCAGGCGGAAGAAUAAGUCUGAUGUGAAAGCCCUCGGCUUAACCGAGGAACUGCAUCGGAAACUGUUUUUCUUGAGUGCAGAAGAGGAGAGUGGAACUCCAUGUGUAGCGGUGGAAUGCGUAGAUAUAUGGAAGAACACCAGUGGCGAAGGCGGCUCUCUG
rnacentral:rRNA from 1 species